rnacentral:rRNA from 1 species
UACAGAGGGUGCAAGCGUUAAUCGGAAUUACUGGGCGUAAAGCGCACGUAGGUGGCUUGAUAAGUUGGGUGUGAAAUCCCCGGGCUUAACCUGGGAAUUGCAUUCAAGACUGUCUUGCUAGAGUGUGGAAGAGGGAAGCGGAAUUCCAGGUGUAGCGGUGAAAUGCGUAGAUAUUGGGAAGAACACCGGUGGCGAAGGCGGCUCACUGGCUCGUAACUGACGCUCAUGCACGACAGCGUGGGGAUCAAACAGG